CCUACGGGUGGCAGCAGUGGGGAAUAUUGCACAAUGGGGGCAACCCUGAUGCAGCGACGCCGCGUGAGUGAAGAAGUAUUUCGGAAUGUAAAGCUCUAUCAGCAGGGAAGAAAAUAACGGUACCUGAUUAAGAAGCCCCGGCUAACUACGUGCCAGCAGCCGCGGUAAUACGUAGGGGGCAAGCGUUAUCCGGAUUUACUGGGUGUAAAGGGGGCGUGGACGGCAGCACAAGUCUGGAGUGAAAUGCCGGGGCUUAACCCCGGAACUGCUUUGGAAACUGUGCAGCUAGAGUGUAGGAGAGGUAAGUGGAAUUCCUAGUGUAGCGGUGAAAUGCGUAGAUAUUAGGAGGAACACCAGUGGCGAAGGCGGUUUACUGGACUGUAACUGACGCUGAGGCUCGAAAGCGUGGGGAGCAAACAGGAUUAGAUACCCGGGUAGUC
rnacentral:rRNA from 1 species